UUUAAAGUGCACAAAAUUAUUUUUAAAUCAAUUAAAACAUAGGAGAAAAGAGAAAAUUCAUGAAAAAUAGAAAAUCAAGGAAACAAAUUGUUGAAAAAUAAAAAUCAGAUGGAGAAAAAGAAAAGAGAAUUAUAGAAAUUAUUUUGGAUAAUUUUUGGAUGUUAAUUGAAUUUUCUAUGACGUUUAAAAGAAAAUGAAAUUUAAAAUUAAAAAAGAAUAAGAAAUAAAAUCAUAAAAAACACGGAGCGUUGGGUCGAACUUCA
rnacentral:lncRNA from 1 species